GGGGAUUUAGCUCAGUGGUAGAGCGCUUGCCUAGCAAGUGGAAGGCCCUGGGUUCGGUUCCCAGCUCCG
rfam:Rattus norvegicus chromosome 2, whole genome shotgun sequence.